AUGCAGUCCACUGAGCCCACCCACUACCCUAGCACCCCUCCUGUCCCAAGAGUCAUUGACCCUCAGGUCAAGGGAUACCAGAGCCACUACAGUGAGGCUGGCCGUGUCUCUGAAAUAUUUUCUUUUUUUUUUUGCCCUUCUCUCUUCCUCGGCGCUGCCUACGGAGGUGGCAGCCAUCUCCUCCUCGGCAUCUCAGCCACCCUCAGACCCCUUGUGAAGCCCAAGAUUGUCAAAAAAAGAACCAAGAAGUUCAUCCAGCACCAGUCAGACCGAUAUGUCAAAAUUAAGCGUAACUGGAGGAAACCCGGAGGCAUUGACAGCAGGGUUCAUAGAAGAUUCAAGGGCCAGAUCUUGAUGCCCAACAUUGGUUAUGGAAGCAACAAAAAAACAAAGCACAUGCUGCCCAGUGGCUUCCAGAAGUUCCUGGUCCACAACGUCAAGGAGCUGGAAGUGCUGCUGAUGUGUGACAAAUCGUACUGUGCCAAAAUCGCUCACAACGUUUCCUCCAAGAACCACAAAGCCAUCAUGGAAAGAGCUGCCCAACUGGCCAUCAGAGUCACCAACCCCAAUGCCAGGCUGCGCAGCGAAGAAAAUGAGUAGACAGCUCGUGUGCACGUUUUCUGUUUAAAUAAAU